GUUUAAGUAAAUGUAAGAGCUAGUAUAGAUAUGAGAUAAUAUUACUCACAUAGGUGUUAAGCUGGCGAAUGAAGCUAGAGAAGUUGUUGUGCUUGAAGUAUCUAGGCAAGGUAUUCUUCGAGAACACGGCAGGAGACCAAACUAUGAACCAUUCCAUGAAACAAUUUUCUUGCCAUCAUCAACACCACCAAUAUCUGCUCCUGUUGAUGAAGAUUCUUGCUCAUUUUCUUCCAAUAAAUCGUACGUUUUUGAUAAAAAAAGG
rnacentral:misc_RNA from 1 species